rnacentral:rRNA from 1 species
UGGGGAAUUGUUCACAAUGGGCGCAAGCCUGAUGACGCAACGCCGCGUGGGGGAUGAAGGUCUUCGGAUUGUAAACCCCUGUCGAACGGGACGAACGGCCUCUGGGCUAAUCACCAGAGGAGUGACGGUACCGUUAAAGGAAGCCACGGCUAACUCUGUGCCAGCAGCCGCGGUAAUACAGAGGUGGCAAGCGUUGUUCGGAAUUACUGGGCGUAAAGGGCGCGUAGGCGGCCAUCUAAGUCAGACGUGAAAUCCCCCGGCUUAACCUGGGAACUGCGUCUGAUACUGGAAGGCUCGAGUUUGGGAGAGGGAUGUGGAAUUCCAGGUGUAGCGGUGAAAUGCGUAGAUAUCUGGAGGAACACCGGUGGCGAAGGCGGCAUCCUGGACCAACACUGACGCUGAGGCGCGAAAGCUAGGGGAGCAAACGGGAUUAGAUACCCCGGUAGUCCUAGCCCUAAACGAUGAAUGCUUGGUGUGGCGGGUAUCGAUCCCUGCCGUGCCGAAGCUAACGCAUUAAGCAUUCCGCCUGGGGAGUACGGUCGCAAGGCUGA